CUCNGUGGAUGUGGUCGAGUGUGCUUGUGUGAUUGAGCUGCACGGACUAAAGGGUCGUGAAAGAUUGGGAGACAAACCUCUGUUUGUUCUAGUUAACGCAGCAGCAUGAUCGCAGAGCCUUCUUCUGUAACACGACGUGUUCAGUAACGACAAUAUUAUCACGUACCGCUGCUGGAAGUUGAAGUUUCAAAGUAAUGCAUAAUUUUGAAGCCGAGAGUGUUGCUAGAAAUAAAAGGGAUGGUAUUAAUUUUGAAUAUCUGCAGAAACUUCUUUACUUUGAAGUUAAGUAGUUUGUCUUUCUUUCUCUGAAUAUGCCUUAUUUGAAUGAGUUUAUAAUGAUCACUCUUUUCCUAAGCCAAUGUGGAACCUUGUAUGUACUCCUAGCAAUCUUCCCCUUGAAGGUAGUACCUUUUUAGGCUU